CCUACGGGAGGCAGCAGUGAGGAAUAUUGGUCAAUGGCCGUAAGGCUGAACCAGCCAAGCCGCGUGAAGGAAGAAGGAUCUAUGGUUUGUAAACUUCUUUUAUAGGGGCACAAAGUUAUCCGCGUGUGGCUCUUUGCAUGUACCCUACGAAUAAGCAUCGGCUAACUCCGUUCAAGCAGCCGCGUCAAUACGGAGGAUGCGAGCGUUAUCCGGUUUUAUUGGGUUUAAAGGGUGCGUAGGUUGUUUGUUAAGUCAGCGGUGAAAGGUCGGGGCUCAAACAUAAAAUGGCAGAUGAGACUGGAAGACUUGAGGAUGUUUGAGGUAGGCGGAAUGCGUGGUGUAGCAGUGAAAUGCAUAGAUAUCACGCAGAACUCCGAUGGCGAAGGCAGCUUACUAAGCCAUAACUGACACUGAGGCACGAAGGCGAGGGGAGCGAAAAGGAUUAGAUACCCUGGUAGUC
rnacentral:rRNA from 1 species